rnacentral:lncRNA from 1 species
GGGUUUUUUAUUCCAUGAAAAAAAAUCAUGAAUAGUUUUUAAUACACACUAAUUCAAUAUAUACUUUUAUCGAUCGACACCGCUCAACUUAAAUUCUAACUACACCAUUGACAAGAGGUAUCUACCCGAUGAAAGAAAAAGCAAGGACAGAGACUGUAUACUCAUUAUUUUAGUACGAUCCCAAGAUAUUAAUCAAACUGCUUAGUCCUAUCAUGAUGAACUGGAUUACAUGAUGGAGAGUCACAGGACCUUCAUAUGAGCCUCAAUUCAUUCAGAACUCUCCUCAGCCAAAUUCACUCGCAGAUUCAAAGGGAUAUUGCUCAAUAUUCUGGUUAUCUGCUACUGCGAGAAACAACAGUUGCUUUUUACUUCUCCAAGUCGCCAGAUUUCUCCAUACAUACGUGCAGUAGACAGACAUUGAUUUCCAUUCUGUUAAUUAUGCCGCACACAUUAAUCCUUAUAUUAUCGUGUUUCUUGAAAUGCUCUUGGACAACCAGUGGUUUUACCCUCAUUGUUCGAAAAGCAGUCGAAUUUACCUGCGUGGAAAAAUUUAUCAGGGCAAUUAAACAAGCAAAAGCAAAGUUAUCAGAAACAGUGAUGUGAAGAGAAAUUCAAACCUUCGUAGAUGUGCCUUUCCAGCUUCCCUGAACUAUUGUUUCUUACUAUAUCAUGAACCUAACCCCAAAGAAAAAAGAUGAAGAAGAUUUAGUUUAAAGCAAGCAAACCGCAGAAAAAACUUAACGAAUGAUCCAAAGUUACUGUUAUCAACAAAAAUACCUCACCCUUCAUAGACAACGAGGUUACGCCCAUUCCAGUAAUGGGGCAAUGAUUUAUAAGGUCCACCGGCUCUCUUCUUGGCGGACUGGUACAAGCAUACCACCUAUAUUUCGAUCACAGCACCAGCAAAUUUCAUCAGAACCAAACGCACUUCAUCAAUAAAAUGGUAAUAUAGGCCAUUGAAAAUUGUUUUUAUCUUGCCUUACUGAAUUUUAGACACCUUUUACAAAUUUCUGUGCUUCCACCAAGAAUGCCUCUAUGACCCUGUAGAAAAUAUUAAAUAUCUCAAAUGAAGAUACCAAACGAUUCUACCAACAAAGUAUAACUAUCUCAAAUGUCUGUUGAACCUGAACCAUAAUUUACAUGAUAAGGAAACUGAGACUUGUGACCUUUCAGUUACCGCACUUUCAGUUAAAACACCGCCCUAUGUACAGUUCACUGUCCUCCUGGUCCUUGAAGCCUCUUUCAUUCAGUAGGUCUUGAGGCUGGACUCUGUCAACGAGAAAGAAUUUGAGUAACAGUCUCUCACAGACCAUGUGCAUGAAUAGACAAAAAAACUCAGACGUGUGCAUGAAUAGACCAAAAAAGUU